UUCAAUGGAGAGUUUGAUCCUGGCUCAGGACGAACGCUGGCGGCGUGCUUAACACAUGCAAGUCGAGCGGUAAGGCCCUUUCGGGGGUACACGAGCGGCGAACGGGUGAGUAACACGUGGGUGACCUGCCCU
rnacentral:rRNA from 1 species